rnacentral:rRNA from 1 species
AACGCGAAGAACCUUACCCAGGCUUGACAUGCAGUGGACCACAUCAGAGAUGGUGUUUCCCUUCGGGGCCGCUGCACAGGUGCUGCAUGGCUGUCGUCAGCUCGUGCCGUGAGGUGUUGGGUUAAGUCCCGCAACGAGCGCAACCCUUAUCACUAGUUGCCAACACGUAAUGGUGGGAACUCUAGUGAGACUGCCCGGGUUAACCGGGAGGAAGGUGAGGAUGACGUCAAGUCCGCAUGGCCCUUAUGUCUGGGGCAACACACGUGCUACAAUGGUCGGUACAGAAGGCAGCCAAACCGCGAGGUGGAGCAAAUCCCUAAAAACCGAUCUCAGUUCAGAUUGUAGUCUGCAACUCGACUACAUGAAGACGGAAUUGCUAGUAAUGGCAGGUCAGCACACUGCCGUGAAUACGUUCCCGGGCCUUGUACACACCGCUAGUC